UACGUAGGGUCCGAGCGUUGUCCGGAAUUACUGGGCGUAAAGAGCUCGUAGGUGGUUUGUCGCGUUGUUCGUGAAAACUCACAGCACAACUGUGGGCGUGCGGGCGAUACGGGCAGACUUGAGUACUGCAGGGGAGACUGGAAUUCCUGGUGUAGCGGUGAAAUGCGCAGAUAUCAGGAGGAACACCGGUGGCGAAGGCGGGUCUCUGGGCAGUAACUGACGCUGAGGAACGAAAGCGUGGGUAGCGAACAGG
rnacentral:rRNA from 1 species